rnacentral:tRNA from 1 species
AAACUAAAAUCAAAAAUUGAACCUAGUUUCGGCCUAGGAAUUGGCUUUUAGCCUUAGUUUU